AUUGAACGCUGGCGGCAUGCUUUACACAUGCAAGUCGAACGGCAGCACGGGCUUCGGCCUGGUGGCGAGUGGCGAACGGGUGAGUAAUAUAUCGGAACGUACCCAGAAGUGGGGGAUAACGUAGCGAAAGUUACGCUAAUACCGCAUACGAUCUAUGGAUGAAAGCAGGGGACCGCAAGGCCUUGUGCUCCUGGAGCGGCCGAUAUCUGAUUAGCUAGUUGGUGAGGUAAAGGCUCACCAAGGCGACGAUCAGUAGCUGGUCUGAGAGGACGACCAGCCACACUGGAACUGAGACACGGUCCAGACUCCUACGGGAGGCAGCAGUGGGGAAUUUUGGACAAUGGGCGCAAGCCUGAUCCAGCAACGCCGCGUGAGUGAAGAAGGCCUUCGGGUUGUAAAGCUCUUUUGUCAGGGAAGAAACGGUAGAGGCUAAUAUCCUUUGCUAAUGACGGCACCUGAAGAAUAAGCACCGGCUAACUACGUG
rnacentral:rRNA from 1 species